rnacentral:rRNA from 1 species
AGGAUGAACGCUGGCGGCGUGCUUAACACAUGCAAGUCGAACGAUGAAGGCUGGAGCUUGCUCUGGCUGGAUUAGUGGCGAACGGGUGAGUAACACGUGAGUAACCUGCCCCAGACUCUGGGAUAAGCGCUGGAAACGGCGUCUAAUACCGGAUACGAGCUUCCACCGCAUGGUGAGGAGCUGGAAAGUAAUUUCGGUCUGGGAUGGACUCGCGGCCUAUCAGCUUGUUGGUGAGGUAAUGGCUCACCAAGGCGACGACGGGUAGCCGGCCUGAGAGGGUGACCGGCCACACUGGGACUGAGACACGGCCCAGACCUCCGUACGGGAGGCAGCAGGUGGGGAAUAGUCGCACAAGUGGGACGCAAGCCUGAUGCAG